UGUUAUCAUGUUGUCAGAUACAGGACUGGGACAUGUUAUCAUGUAGUCAGAUACAGGACUGGGACAUGUUAUCAUAUGAGUACAGCCAGGGUUGUGACUGUCUGUUCAUAUGGGAGGACAGAUUGAGAGGCGUUAGUUCGGAUUAAGCUGCCUGACCGAGUCCAUCUGUCUGACUGUCUGUGUGGGUGUCCUCUCCUCCAUCAUACUACUUCCUACUGCUGUAUCCCCAGAGCAGGGUGUUUGUCCUGACUGAGACUCCCCUGGAACACAACAGAGAGGUGUUUGUCCUGACUGAGACUCCCCUGGAACACAACAGAGAGGUGUUUGUCCUUACUGAGACUCCCCUGGAACACAACAGAGAGGUGUUAGUAGUUACUGAGACUCCCCUGGAACACAACAGAGAGGUGUUAGUAGUUACCGAGACUCCCCUGGAACACAACAGAGAGGUGUUAGUAGUUACCGAGACUCCCCUGGAACACAACAGAGAGGUGUUAGUAGUUACUGAGACUGGAACACAACAGAGAGGUGUUAGUAGUUACUGAGACUCCCCUGGAACACAACAGAGAGAUGUUAUUAGUUACUGAGACACCCCUGGAACACAACAGAGGUGUUACUCCUGAAGGAGACUCACCUGGAACACAACAGAGAGAUGUUAGUAGUUACUGAGACUGGAACACAACAGAGAGGUGUUAGUAGUUACUGAGACUCCCCUGGAACACAACAGAGAGAUGUUAUUAGUUACUGAGACACCCCUGGAACACAACAGAGAGGUGUUAGUAGUUACUGAGACUCCCCUGGAACACAACAGAGAGGUGUUAGUAGUUACUGAGACUCCCCUGGAACACAACAGAGAGGUGUUAGUAGUUACUGAGACUCCCCUGGAACACAACAGAGAGGUGUUAGUAGUUACUGAGACUCCCCUGGAACACAACAGAGAGAGCAGGGUAACCUUCUUUCCUCCUGACUAGAUAAGUAACCACAUACGUGUGUGUGUG